GGGCAUGUGGUCUAGGGGUAUGAUAUUUGCUUCGCAUCCUUCGUGAUUGCAAAGGGUCCCCGGUUCAAUUCCGGGCAUGUCCA